GGAAAGUGCUCAGUCGUGGGAGGAUAACGUAGCCAAAGUUACGCCUAUACCGCAACGAUCUAUCGAUGAAAGCGGGGGGAUCGCAAAGACUCGCGCGAUUGGAGCGGCCUAAUAUCAGAUAAGGUAGUUGGUGGGGUAAAGGCUCACCAAGCCGACGAUCUGUAGCUGGUNUGAGAGGACGACCAGCCACAUUGGGACUGAGACACGGCCCAGACUCCUACGGGAGGCAGCAGUGGGGAAUUUUGGACAAUGGGGGAAAGCCUGAUCCAGCCAUGCCGCGUGCAGGAUGAAGGCCUUCGGGUUGUAAAGCGCUUUUGUNCGGGAAGAAAAGGUUUGGCUUAAUAAGCUGAACUCAUGACGGUACCGUAAGAAUAAGCACCGGCUAACUACGUGCCAGCAGCCGCGGUAAUACGUAGGGUGCGAGCGUUAAUCGGAAUUACUGGGCGUAAAGCGUGCGCAGGCGGUUAUGUAAGCCAGAUGUGAAAUCCCCGGGCUCAACCUGGGAACUGCAUUAGUGACUGCAUAGCUNGAGUACGGCAGAGGGGGAUGGAAUUCCGCGUGUAGCAGUGAAAUGCGUNUAUAUGCGGAGGAACACCGAUGGCGAAGGCAAUCCCCCUGGGCCUGCACUGACGCUCAG
rnacentral:rRNA from 1 species